UAUAGGGAGCUGCUGGCGCCGCGGUUCUGUCUUUUACGUGGGGAUUUGGGAGGUGAUUGCUGUGUCAGGAACAAUGGCGCCGUCUUUCAAUGCUGUACCAGAGCACUACUGUGGGUAUGCCAAGAUGUAUGAGCAAAUCCCAAAACGUCUAGUAGAAUAUUCAGUGAGAAAUUACAUGAUUAAAACCUGACAAUCUUCAUAGUGUCCUCGGUGUUGAAAAUACUAAUGAAGCUAUUGGCGUCAUUGACUAGCAACUUCAUUUUAAAUGAGGGUCGCUGUCAGCCCAAUGAAAGAGGCCAGCUUGCUGUGAAGUUCCUGAAGUGCAACAAUAUCUGGCUAGUACCACGAGGUUUGUUGUAUGGAAUGCUGGUAUUAAGGAAAACAUCCAGAAAAAGCUCUUCGUUUUACAAACAUCAAAAGGAAACAAACAAAUUUUGGAUUAUAUUGGUUUUUUUAAUGGAAAAGUAUUUGCUUUCAGCUAACCGGCCUUGUAAUCAAAUUCUGAAUGAAUCUUUCACCUUUAGUUGCCUGUUUGAAUUUAAAAUGCAUAAUUGUAAUUAAAAUUGAGUGAAAUUUUA